rnacentral:lncRNA from 1 species
AAUAAGUACCAGUUGAACAAUGGGGCUGUAACCGAUUUAUCUUGUGCCAACAUUUGAAACCAAUAUUUAUAAUAUAUUUAGUGUUACUUUAUGUAUACUCGUUUCCGGUAUGUUGUCAUAUUUUCACCGUAGACGAAAGACAUUUACUGAGUAAAAUACUUUAUCAUACCGUGCUGAGUUCUGUAUGAUUUAGCCAUACGUGCUCACGUUUCACUUUGUCGGCAAACUUCGAUAUUCGUCGUACCAGAUUAGGAUUUAUUUUCAUCCCAUAUUUGCCACCAAUCCUAGGUACUCUGAAGUAGGCAGUCCUAUUGAUAAUGUGCUGGAAUUGUCUCGACCGUGAUGAAAGGUCUUGUUUUCUGUUCGUAUCUUGUCCUUUGCGUUAUAUAUAUAUAUACAUAUAUAUAUAUAUGAGAGAGAGAGAGAGAGAGAGAGAGAGAGAGAGAGAGAUGGGGGGAUACAAACUUGUGCAUUUAGCGGUCAAUCAUGUCGAAUAUAUAUACAUAUGUUUAUGUAUAUGUACAUGACAUGUAUACAUAUAUACUUACAUACGUACAUACAUACGUACAUGCAUACACGCAUACACACACACACACACACACACACACACACACACACACAAAUACAACUAUGUUAAGACAGAGGUUGCGGGAAGUUAGGAUGUGUGAUUGUAGUUUGAACAGAACUAGUAACUAGAUAUAUAAAUGUACUAAAUAUAUAAAUGUCUGACCCGAUACCAAUUGUUUGCCUGUUUGUACCUUUUCUAUUACAUAUACAUAUAUAUUUAUUUACAUGCAAGUCUGUCACAUGGGAUAUUGGCGCUUAUCUCCAUCCUGGAAAAUCUUAAAUCUAUGUUAAUGUCAGUGAAAAGAGGCCAGUAACUAUCUCGCAGAAGUUGAGUUUACACGAAAACAACAUUAUUAGAAUAGCUUAUGAAUUGAACAGAGACAUGAAAUAAGAGGUGAUACGGCUCUUUCACCAAGGAGCUUCGAUAAACUCUGUUUAUCCAAAGAACAAACCAAAAUACGGAUCAGUUUACUGAGAAAAUAGUGACGGUGCUUGGCACGAAAGUUGCAAAUCAUGGAAGAAAUCGAUCAUAUCAGAAGUUUGGCAUCGUGUAUCGACAAAUUUCUCACAUCUCACUUUCGAGGCUUUCUCCAAGCAAUUCAAGAACAACAUAUCCCGAGCAAAUACCUGCUGCACGAAAGGCAGAAAACAUUGACAGACGUCAGAUGUAGGCUCUGCAAGACCAAGACUGAAAACAGCAACCACAUUAUUGCCAACUGCAAAAGACUGUCUUCCGCGUAUUAUCUUCCUAUGAGGCAUGAUGCGAAGGUUAGAGCAGUCUGGAACAGGAUAACAAAAAAGAAAGUGCCGAUAAAAAAAAUUGACCAAAUUGAGAUCAACGGGUCAAAAGAAUAUUGGUGAGACUUAAAAAUUUAAUCAGCCACCAAGUUAAAACACGACCUGCCAGAUAUAUCUAUUUCAUACAUGUUAUUGUUACUGGAGCAACAGGCAUACCGACCCACCUGAAGCAAACAAUUGGGGCUUGGGGAAGGAACGCAACUUAUUAUUUAUACAGUAGAAAAUGAUCACGAUAUUUGGGAAAAUAAAAUGUGUGUGGAUGCAUCGAUCUAUCUAUAUAUGUAUAUAUAAGUAUUAUCUCUUUCUCUCUUUCUCUCUCUUUCUCUCUUUCUCCUCUGUGUGUGUGUAUAUAUGUAUAUAUAUAUAUAUAUAUAUAUAUAUACAUAUAUAUAUAUAUAUAUAUAUGUAUGUAUGUAUUUAUGUAUGUAGGAAAUUAUUUUAUUCCAUGUGGGCGGAGAUAGAGAAAAAAGAAGCUGAAAAUGCACUGAGAGUCUUUUAGAUGGUAUAUUUUUAGAGAUUAACCGGUUUCACAGAUUUUUCUGGUUUUCAAAAGUUAAAUGAGAUCGAAAGACUUGGGGCUAUGCCGCAACUGAUUAGCAUAGAUAUUUUGCAAGUUUCCCGAUACACCCAUGUCCACUCAAUCUACUUGACAGAUAAAACGUUGAGAGCCUUGAUUGUUUAGGACUGUCACUAGACACGUCCACUCAAUCAGCUGGCUGAACUUUCGGCAUCAAAAUUUUUGUUAUAUGCCUCUAACGCACAAACAUAGCGGAGAACAUAGAAAGAUUUUAAAAUCUAAUCACGUGAUAUACCUCUGCUUAUCAAAUUGUAUCCUAAAUAGAUACUAAUAUGAGCUACGUUCUCUUCAUAAAAGCAAAAGAAUUUUCGAACUUCAAUCAGAAAAAUCUGUGAAAUUGGUUGUGCCUUUAAAAAUAAACCAUCUAAAGCACACUCAGUACAUUUUCACUUUCUUUCUCUCUCUCGGUCACUCUUUCUCUCUCUCUCUCUCUCUCUCUCUCUCUCUCUCCAUAUAUAUAUAUAUAUAUAUAUAUAUAUAUAUAUACAUAUAUAUACAUAUAUAUACAUAUAUAUAUAUAUAUAUAUAUAUAUAUAGAAGCAGCUUCUACAGGACUAG